GGCACAUCCUAAUUACAUCUACAUAAAAUGUACUCUAUAUAUUAUGUAAUUUGACAUACUUCUACAAUUCAUUAUAGCAAUCAUAUAAUCAUGCCAAAAAUCAAAUAAGGGUGCAAUUAAAGUUAUAACAUAUGACAAGUAUAUUCAAGAAAUACAACUAAUCCUAAUCAUAUUAGGCAUGCAAAACAUCCUUAACCUUCAUCGAUUUAAGCAUGAAACUACCAUGAUAAUAUAAAUUCUAAAUUAUCA
rnacentral:lncRNA from 1 species